GACGAACGCUGGAGGCGUGCUUAACACAUGCAAGUCGAACGAUGAAAUGGAGCUUGCUCCAUGGAUUAGUGGCGAACGGGUGAGUAACACGUGAAUAACCUGCCCUUAAUUUUGGAAUAACCCAGGGAAACCUGGGCGAAUACCGGAUAAGUAAACCUGUGGCAUCACAUGGUUUUGGAAAGUUUUUCGAUUAAGGAUGGAUUCGCGGCCUAUCAGCUUGUUGGUGAGGUAAUGGCUCACCAAGGCGACGACGGGUAGCCGGCCUGGGAGGGUGGACGACCACAAUGGGACGGAGACACGGCCCAGACUCCUACGGGAGGCAGCAGUGGGGAAUAGUGCGCAAUGGACGAAAGUCUGACGCAGCGACGCCUCGGGAGGGACGAAGGUCUUCGGAUUGUAAACCUCUUUCAGCAGGGACGAAGCGAAAGUGACGGUACCUGCAGAAGAAGCACCGGCUAACUAUGUGCCAGCCGCCGCCGUAA
rnacentral:rRNA from 1 species